ensembl:rRNA 5S_rRNA 5S ribosomal RNA
GUCUACAGCCAUACCACCCUGAAUGCACCUAAUUUCUUCUGAUCUCAGAAGCUAAGCAGGGUGUGGCCUGGUUAGUACUUGGAUGGGAGGAAUGUAAGUCUUCUAACCC